UGUAUUGGGUUUAGAAUGAGGGAGCUUAAACACUGGUUACAAUCAAAACAAUGAGCUCAGAAGAACAUAAUGACGUAAAAGUCAAGGCGGCCAGCUGUCUCUUAACCAACAAAAACACUUUCUGAGCCAGUUAAGAGACAUUCAAAGCCAGAGGUGCAAGGAAGAUGUCCAGGCUGUAAAAGACAAGAUAUCCAAAGGUUACUUACUCAUUUACUCACGAAAACAGAAAAAUGUUCUGAGAACAAGUUCUAAGUGGACUAAUUGAGAACAGAUCAUAGGAAGAUGUCCCACCUUCUACCCUACCCUACUCCUCACUUUGGGAAUCUAACAAAAUAAGCACUCCAGGAAACUUGACGUUAGUGUUUUGCAUUAUAAAUUAAUAAACUGGCACAGAUGGGAAGAGAAAAAGGCUCCUCUAUGAAGUGGACUUCCAAGAACUGUACUGGGGAUAAGAAGGUUCUGCCCCCCACCCUUGCUUAAGCUGGCAAUUGUUACUGGUCAAUAGGAAUCCAUACCUGUGGACAUCGGUUUCUACUUACCCUCCAUCCCCUCAUUAAUGAUGCAAUCCUAUUCUUUGACUGAUCUUUGUACGUCCUGUUAGUGACUAAUGAUCUGUUGGUGAAUUGAAUAUAUGGGCCCUGUCCAGCCCAGAAAAAGUCAUGGCCUAGAAAUGCACUAAAAUAAAAUACUCAUGUGAGCACAAUGUUCUUACAAAUCUCAGUAUUUAUGACUCCAAUACUCACCAAGAUGUUUUGUACUGAAAGCAACACUUGAUCUUCCUCAACAAGCACAAAUGGCAAAGUCAACAAUAAGAACCAUACAGAGAUCUCCAGAGGAAAGUUGUGAAAAGAAAGAACUAUUUUCACCAGGGCUUUUCCUAAGCAAA